GAUGAACGCUGGCGGCGUGCCUAACACAUGCAAGUGGAGCGACGAACCCGGACUUGUCCGGGGGCAAAGCCGCGAACGGGUGAGUAACACGUGGGUUAUCUGCCCCAAUGACCGGGACAACUCGAGGAAACUCGAGCUAAUACCGGAUGUGCUCUUCGGAGGAAAGGAAGCUUCGGCCUCCGCAUUGGGAUGAGCCCGCGGCGCAUUAGCUAGUUGGUGAGGUAACGGCUCACCAAGGCGACGAUGCGUAGCUGGUCUGAGAGGACGAUCAGCCACACUGGAACUGAGACACGGUCCAGACUCCUACGGGAGGCAGCAGUGGGGAAUCUUGCGCAAUGCACGAAAGUGUGACGCAGCAACGCCGCGUGCGGGAAGAAGGUCUUCGGAUCGUAAACCGCUUUCAGUUGGGACGAGGGUUACACGGUGGAUAGCCGGCGUAACUGACGGUACCUUCAGAAGAAGCCCCGGCUAACUACGUGCCAGCCGCCGCAGUAAAAC
rnacentral:rRNA from 1 species